UACUCAUUCAUUAGAAGUAAACCAAAUUCUACUAAUUGGCUCUUUAAAUCUAUCCACACAAGUUACAUAAUAUGUCCUAAUCUAUUUCAUAGAGGUUUGACAAUGACUUAAAAGGAAACCGAAUUCAUUAUUUCUAGAAAUACAAUAAACUCAAACUUUUAUUAUACCUUACCAGCACAAUAAGUCAAACCCAACAGAAGGGUGGUAUAUAUAAAGAAACAAACACAUAGAGAUGCUGACUUCUUAGGAAGAUGCCAACCUCCUCUCCAAGACAGCCUUCAUAGUAGCCAUCCCUAGUCCCUAUCAGGGAAGGUUUCUUUGAUAACUGGCGCAUUCUUGAAAUUAUCAAACCAUAAAUGUAAGAGAGGGAACCUUUCAGCUACUAGGACCUUCACUUGUUUAAUAUCUUCUAUAG